AGAUUGAACGCUGGCGGCAGGCCUAACACAUGCAAGUCGAGCGGUAGAGAGGUGCUUGCACCUCUUGAGAGCGGCGGACGGGUGAGUAAUGCCUAGGAAUCUGCCUAGUGGUGGGGGAUAACGGUUCGGAAACGGACGCUAAUACCGCAUACGUCCUACGGGAGAAAGCGGGGGACCUUCGGGCCUCGCGCCAUUAGAUGAGCCUAGGUCGGAUUAGCUAGUUGGUGAGGUAAUGGCUCACCAAGGCGACGAUCCGUAACUGGUCUGAGAGGAUGAUCAGUCACACUGGAACUGAGACACGGUCCAGACUCCGUACGGGAGCAGCAGUGGGGAAUAUUGGACUAAGUGGGACGAAAGCCUGACUCCAG
rnacentral:rRNA from 1 species